AACGAACGCUGGCGGCAUGCCUUACACAUGCAAGUCGGACGCCCCGCAAGGGGGGUGGCGCACGGGUGAGUAACGCGUGGGAACCUGCACUGGAGGGGGGAUAACCCGGCGAAAGCCGGGCUAAUACCGCAUGCGCCCCGGAGCAAUCUGGGGGAAAGAUUUAUCGCUCUAGGGUGGGCCCGCGUCGGAUUCGCUAGUUGGUGGGGUAACGGCCCACCAAGGCGAUGAUCAGUAGCGGGUCUGAUAGGAUGAUCAGCCAAAAUGGGACCGAGAGGCGGCACAGAUGCCUACGGAAGGGGGCAGAGGAGGAUAUUGGACAAUGGGUGCAGGGCUGAUCCACUAAUACCGCGUGUGUGAUGAAGGCGUUAGGGUUUUAACGCUCUUUCGGCGGGGACGAUGAUGACGGUACCCGCAGAAGAAGCCCUGGCUAACUUCGUGCCAGCAGCCGCAGUAACAC
rnacentral:rRNA from 1 species